GAUGAACGCUGGCGGCGUGCCUAAUACAUGCAAGUCGAGCGAACGGACGAGAAGCUUGCUUUUCUGGUGUUAGCGGCGGACGGGUGAGUAACACGUGGAUAACCUACCUAUAAGACUGGGAUAACUUCGGGAAACCGGAGCUAAUACCGGAUAAUAUUUUGAACCGCAUGGUUCAAAAGUGAAAGACGGUCUUGCUGUCACUUAUAGAUGGAUCCGCGCUGCAUUAGCUAGUUGGUAAGGUAGCGGCUUACCAAGGCAACGAUGCAUAGCCGACCUGAGAGGGUGAUCGGCCACACUGGAACUGAGACACGGUCCAGACUCCUACGGGAGGCAGCAGUAGGGAAUCUUCCGCAAUGGGCGAAAGCCUGACGGAGCAACGCCGCGUGAGUGAUGAAGGUCUUCGGAUCGUAAAACUCUGUUAUUAGGGAAGAACAUAUGUGUAAGUAACUGUGCACAUCUUGACGGUACCUAAUCAGAAAGCCACGGCUAACUACGUG
rnacentral:rRNA from 1 species